rnacentral:rRNA from 1 species
GUGGGGAAUCUUGCGCAAUGGGCGAAAGCCUGACGCAGCCAUGCCGCGUGAAUGAUGAAGGUCUUAGGAUUGUAAAAUUCUUUCACCGGGGACGAUAAUGACGGUACCCGGAGAAGAAGCUCCGGCUAACUUCGUGCCAGCAGGAGCGGUAAUACGAGAGCCUCAAGCGUUAUCCGGAAUCAUUGGGCGUAAAGGGUGCGUAGGUGGUUUGAUUAGUCUCCCGUUAAAACUUCGAGCUUAACUCGAAAAGAGCGGGGGAAACGGUCAAACUAGAGUAUGUGAGAGGUGUGUGGAACUCAUGGUGUAGGGGUGAAAUCCGUUGAUAUCAUGGGGAACACCAAAAGCGAAGGCAGCACACUGGCACAUCACUGACACUGAGGCACGAAACCUAAGGUAGCGAAUGGGAUUAGAAACCCGUGUAGUCC